rnacentral:rRNA from 1 species
UACGGAGGAUCCUAGUGUUAUCCGGAUUUAUUGGGUUUAAAGGGAGCGUAGGCGGGAGGUCAAGUCAGCUGUGAAAUGUAUCUGCUUAACGGGUACACUGCAGUUGAAACUGGUUUUCUUGAGUGCGUAAGAGGCAGGCGGAAUUCGUUGUGUAGCGGUGAAAUGCUUAGAUAUGACGAGGAACUCCUAUUGCGAAGGCAGCUUGCUGGGUCGUUACUGACGCUGAUGCUCGAAGGUGCGGGGAUCAAACAGGGUUAGGAUACCCU